GAUGAACGCUGGCGGCGUGCUUAACACAUGCAAGUCGAACGGAGUUUAUAAGCGGAAGUCUUCGGAUGGAAGCUUAUAAACUUAGUGGCGGACGGGUGAGUAACGCGUGGGUAACCUGCCUUACACAGGGGGAUAACAGUUGGAAACGACUGCUAAUACCGCAUAAGCGCACAGUGCUGCAUGGUACGGUGUGAAAAGAUUUUAUCGGUGUAAGAUGGACCCGCGUCUGAUUAGCUAGUUGGUGGGGUAAUGGCCUACCAAGGCAACGAUCAGUAGCCGGCUUGAGAGAGUGAACGGCCACAUUGGGACUGAGACACGGCCCAAACUCCUACGGGAGGCAGG
rnacentral:rRNA from 1 species